rnacentral:lncRNA from 1 species
GAUUAAUUUGAUAUGCUAGUACAUUGUAUUAACCCAAGUUCCUAAACUGGUUCAGUUCAAAGUAUUUGAACUAAACUAAAUUGGUUAUCUUUGACCUAAUGGGAUUGGGUCCACUUUAAUUGGGUUCUUAUCCAACUUGGAAUAAUUUUAAGUGUGGAAGGAGUCCUCUACACCCACCAAGUCUCACACCAAAAUAAAAUUGCUGCCCCCUCUUAAUUAAUGUGAGA